rnacentral:rRNA from 1 species
GAUGAACGCUGGCGGCAGGCCUAACACAUGCAAGUCGAGGGGUAGCAGGAUUAAGCUUGCUUAAUUGCUGACGACCGGCGCACGGGUGCGUAACGCGUAUGCAACCUACCUUAUACUGGGGUAUAGCCCGGAGAAAUUCGGAUUAAUCCCCCAUAGUACUAAUGAAUCGCAUGGUUUAUUAGUUAAAGCAUUGCGGUAUAAGAGGGGCAUGCGUCCUAUGAGCUAGAGGGUGAGGUAACGGCACACCAUAGCUACGAUAGGUAGGGGGCAUGGGAGGGUGGUCCCCCAGACUGGUACUGAGAAACGGACCAGACUCCGACGGGAGGCAGCAGUGAGGAAUAUUGGUCAAUGGGCGCAAGCCUGAACCAGCCAUGCCGCGUGCAGGAAGAAUGCCCUAUGGGUUGUAAACUGCUUUUAUUUGGGAAUAAACCUCUUUACGUGUAGAGAGCUGAAGGUACCAAAUGAAUAAGCACCGGCUAACUCCGUGCCAGCCGCCGCGGUAA